CUGCAUUGUUGAUUCUUUUUUUUCUAUUGAAUCUUUCCUCAACUCCUUGCCUCCUCAAAACGUAGUGGACAAGAAGGCCUGAGGGGAGGUAGCUUCUCCUCCAAUAAGGUAGAGCAGUAGGUGAGGAGCUGGGGUGUGAGGAAUCCCAGAAAGAUGAAUUGAGAUGGAGACGUGGGGUGGACCCCCUAAAGGACAAGACAGACCAACACAAAUGUCGUCCAUGCGCUACAUUGCCUGUUGAUGAUGUAGAUAGGACAACCUUGUCUGUCUUGUCCUUAAAGUGGUUUAUAUUUUAUAUGAAUGCAUGUUUACCAAAUGAAAAAGCAUUGUUUUGGUAUGUCAGAGGCCCUUCAAGCUUGCCUGAAUUUUAUUUACUGUAAUCGCUAAUUUUUGUGUGUUCAUUGAGGGAAAGCAUUGUUCAUACUAACGUAACAUGGGUUCAGAUAUCCGUAUCUAAUAAUGGCUUGUGGAUCACAUCAGUUUAUGAAAUGUAAGUUCAUUGUCCACUCAUCUUUCAAUCAUCUUAAAGUUAGACCCAGUCCAUCUCCUUAAUGGGACACACAGAGCAAUAUUUGGGUGCUGUGUGUGGCCCUAUAUCUGUGCUCAAAUUUAUAAAUGUUCCUGUGUAAUGAACCACAGCACCCUCUAGCUUUAUCUGUGAUACUGCAGAUGGAAACAGAAUUUUCCGUAGUUAAGGGUGCAGUGCAGUUAAAUGUGUUUUACCGUAAAAAAAAAAGAAGAUAUUUCCACACUGAAUAUUGUGAAAGUGAUGAUAAUGGCCUUUUUGUGUAAGAUCUGUUUAAAAAAAAUGCCUGAAAUUUCAGCCUGUUCAAGUGGGAUGUACUUUUGACCCGCACCCGGCGAUCUGAUUAUAAUAGACCAAUUAACAUUAAUAAUUUAUUUACAUAUUCCCUCCUAGUUUUGGCGCUGGUCCCGCCCAAAAGCAAGAGAGAUUGUGCAUUAUGGAUGCCUUAGCACUGUAUUCCAGCCGAACAAUCAGUUUGUCUGAUUUGGCAGCGAUUUAUUUAUCAUAAUCAACUGUCAGAGAAGUUCAGUCGAACCUCCUGCACAGCACACUUUGCAUCGGACUACACUGCAAAUCAGGCUAGGUACACAGGUGGAUUUCCCAGCAGCUCCAUCGAGCAUCGCAUGGAUCUUGAAAUCGGCAGCAGCAGCAACCAUUCAUGAAGGGGUACCGGUACAGAGUCAAUGUGCAGGGGCACCGGUUAGUCGAGAGCCAUAGCUGAGGAAGUCCUGCAGGAUGAAGAGGACCAUGAAGUCAUGGACUUCUUGGAGGAAGAUGUUUUUGAUGAGGAGCUACUUGGUGUGAAGACUAGGACAAAGAGUAUGAGACACACACAGACAGGUGAACAUCGACUGGCAGAGAAGCAGCUGAACUGGUCCUCCCCCUCCCCCACCUAACCCUCCUAGGUUGAUGCUGGUAGUUGGUGCUGCUCAUACCAAGCUGGUGGUGAAGGUCGUAGAAAUGCUAUAGCCUGGUCCCAGAUCGGUUUAUGCUGUCUUGCUAACUCCAAAUGUAUGAUAGUUGUAAUGCCAUGAUACCAUAGCUGUUGGCUUGGCUAUACAUAUGAGUUGGCUAAUGGCUAUAUAGCACAAACAGCUCAAAGACCAAGCUAACAUUUGGCUGAUUGUCGGAACAGAAAUAAAUGUUAUGUACUUGAGGACUACUCUAAAAAAUGUUGGCUUUGUUGCAGUAAAUAUAGAAAGGAGAAUAUGACGUGAUUUGCUUGUGUGGCACCUGAAUGCAAGGGCAAGCAGUUGUGUAUGGUGAUAUGAUAGUGAUGCAAAUGCACGUGUGUUUUCAGUUUUAAAAGAGACAAUGUUUUCCCCUUUCAAUAAAGUUAUUGUUUUAUUAAUAUUA